AAAACGAUGCGAGCGCUGCGGGUGGGGUAUUGGCCACCUACCAUUUUUUUGAAUCGACCGUUAAAAAGGUGGUCGAUGGACAAUGAUGAGAGUGUGACGUCUGUUUGUCUGUGUUGUUAGGUUAUCUAAAUUCUGUUUUAUUGGAGUUAAGUUUCGAGUUACCGAUAGCUGUGUGCUGCCGCAUAAUCAAGCUAAGAUGAAGCCGGAUUGCGAGAUCAACCUGUACCGACUACGUUUAGCAGAAGCAAGCUUUUGAGACCUUCUUGUCGCGAAAUGGAGAUUUGAGUCAGUCUUCCGCCAGCGACGUGAGGGUCGGUUUUGAGGAUUAACUAUAGAAUCUCAUUCUAAUCAAUAUGGCCGAUGUAUGAAUUCUUUGCCACACUGCCAAUUUACUCUUCUUUUACGAGUCUCCUUAUGAUCACGACGAUUUUGCAGCGAAUAGAUCAAAAUCAAAGCGAAAGGGACAACUCAGGAAGGUUCGGUUAAUUAUUCGGAAAGAUGCGGCAGCCGUAUCGAACGAGCCAUUAGUUUGUGUUUAAUGGUUAACCGUUUAUUGAUUGCCUAGGAAAUUUUCUCUUUCUUAACCUACAAACAAUCACAGAACACACAUUCACACAUUCGAUGAAGAACAUUCCAACAGCUAUACGAACGAAUUCUUCGAAGGAUAUUGUUAAAAGCUUACAAAAAAAAACAUAAAUACGAAAAUCCUUUCACAGAAUAAAAUUACACAUACAUACAUUUGUUGAAUGGAACCAAUCUCUUUCUCUGCCUGGCAAAGAAAAAAAAACAUAAGAAAAAUAACACGGCAAACCAACCAACAAACAAACAGGAACAAUAGUGGUAGUUUCGUCAAAGAAACCCUAACCAGUGUACGUAAAUCGCGGCAGAAAGUGAGAAGAACUGACACCUCCUUGUUUGAAUAUCAAAACAUCAGAGACAAAAAAAAAACAACGGGAAAUAAAAUAAUGCUUUUUUGAAGUCAUUGAA